rnacentral:rRNA from 1 species
GAUGAACGCUAGCGGCAGGCUUAAUACAUGCAAGUCGAGGGGUAACAUGGGGUAGCAAUACUCUGAUGACGACCGGCAAACGGGUGCGGAACACGUACGCAACUUUCCCAAAACUGGUGAAUAGCCCUCCGAAAGGAGGAUUAAUACACCGUAACAUAUAGAGGUGGCAUCGCCUUUAUAUUAUAGCUCCGGCGGUUUUGGAUGGGCGUGCGCCUGAUUAGGUAGUUGGUGUGGUAACGGCUUACCAAGCCUGCGAUCUGUAGCUGGUCUGAGAGGAUGAUCAGCCACACUGGGACUGAGACACGGCCCAGACUCCUACGGGAGGCAGCAGUGGGGAAUUUUGGACAAUGGGCGCAAGCCUGAUCCAGCCAUUCCGCGUGCAGGACGAAGG